rnacentral:rRNA from 4 species
UUCUUGACGACCAUAGAGCAUUGGAACCACCUGAUCCCAUCCCGAACUCAGCAGUGAAACGAUGUAUCGCCGAUGGUAGUGUGGGGUUUCCCCAUGUGAGAGUAGGUCAUCGUCAAGAUU